UCUGAUAAUAGCUUCCAAAUGUCAUUUCGCAUUCAAGCUUCAAAAUUUCUUAGUUCUGAUAUUCCAUUUCCCACUUGGGGUUUUGAAAUCCUACUUUGAAUUAUAGUUUCGAAAUUCCAUUUCUUAUUCCAUUUCGUAUUAAAGCUUCUUCUUUUCGCUUUAUUCCAAAUGAAAUCGACAUUGCAUAUUAAAACACAAUAUCACCAAAAAUAGUUUAUUUACUUCACUUGCUCGUAUAUGUGAGUCUGUUUAACUGUCUAUAUGUAUGUGUGUGUGUGUGUGUGUUUUUUUUAAAUUAU